rnacentral:tRNA from 1 species
GCGCUGUUAGCUCAGUAGGUAGAGCAGCUGCCUUUUAAGCAGACGGUCACAGGUUCGAAUCCUGUACGGCGCA